rnacentral:rRNA from 1 species
GCGUAAGCGCGCGCAGGCGGCUCUUUAAGUCUGGUGUGUAAUCCCCAGGCUCAACUUCGGGUCGCACUGGAAACUGGGGAGCUUGAGUGCAGAAAAAGAGAGUGGAAUUCCACGUGUAGCGGUGAAAUGCGUAGAGAUGUGGAGGAACACCAGUGGCGAAGGCGACUCUCUGGGCUGUAACUGACGCUGAGGCGCGAAAGCGUGGGGAGCAAACAGGAUUAGAUACCC